rnacentral:tRNA from 1 species
GGAAGAGAAUCGCACCCCGGUGGGGCGCCUAGACUUCAAAUCUAGUGAGGGGCGUACCACGUCUCUGGUGGGUUCGACUCCCACUCUCUUUCGCCA